rnacentral:rRNA from 1 species
UACGUAGGUGGCAAGCGUUGUUCGGAAUUAUUGGGCGUAAAGGGCGCGUAGGCGGCCAGCACAAGUCAGUUGUGAAAUCUCCGGGCUUAACUCGGAAAGGUCAACUGAUACUGUGCGGCUAGAGUGCAGAAGGGGCAACUGGAAUUCUCGGUGUAGCGGUGAAAUGCGUAGAUAUCGUAAGGAAGACCAGUGGCGAAGGCGGGUCUCUGGACAGUUCCUGACGCUGAGGCACGAAGGCCAGGGGAGCAAACGGG